UUAGGGUUAGUUUUUUUUUUUUGGAGUGAAGUACUUGGUUAGUUUGAUAUGAAGCAAUUCUGAAUUUUAUUGUAUUGUUUUUGUUGUAGAAAUCUAAUUUUAGUAUUUUCCAUGAAUUAGGAUUGAGGACAUCUAUCUUACCUUCUUUGCAGCGUAAUCCAAUGAGAAAUACCUUCAACUGAGAGUUGUAUUUAUAGCAAUAUUCAUUACAUCAGUUCCUUUACUGUUAAUCCAAGAAUAUUGAACGACCCAUCCCUUUACCAAGUCUACCCACUUUACUCGUCUUACCAUCUGCCUUUCGUUGUUUUCCACAGUGGGUACUUGACAGAUGUUAAAAAAGAACAAAUGUCUGGAUCAUUUUUUGCAACCCCCCCUGUUUGCAUUGCCAAAUUAUUUCCGAUGCUUCUAUAUUAUGUCGUUUCACCUUAGCAAAUGUCAAACUCAUUUGCAGAAAAUAGGGUUAUUACUCAUGAAUGAAAGUAUUUCUCUAAUCAAGUUUUAAUCCAACAGGCACAAUAUUUUCGUGUGAAGCACAACAGCAGCACUUGAGGCCGAAACCAUAGGUAAGCGACUGGCCAUUAGUAAAAUACAAAACGAUCAUCUACCAAACGAACGAACUUGAAAAAGAUAAUCUGUAAUUUGCCCAUAUUUUACAACAAUCUCCAAAAUCAACCCAAAUGACCCAAAAAAUAAACAAUAAACUCUAAGUACAUUUAAUUAUUAGCCCAACAAGCUAGACUGACUUUCCACCGCAAAAAUGAGAUUUUGGUGCCGUAAUGAGAUUUCGUUUGUUUUAGUGAUGUGAAACCUGGAAUUCUUUUAGGGUAUUGAUAUGUUUUUGUUUUGAUGUGUUCGUGUAUUAUAAGCGGACAAAGGUUUUUUGGAACCGCUAUUGUUCUCUUUGCAUCUGUUGAUUGGUGUUUUACCAGAUAGUGAGUGAUCUUUUAGAACUAUUGGAGCUUUAUUCUGGUUCAAGAGCAGAAUCUGCACAUUUCUUAAAGCAUAUCAGGGCAUACAAUAGUACAUUUUCAUUUACAUCGCGGUGAGUCGAUCUUUUGAUCCUACGUUUCCACAACGGUGGCAAGAAAUCGACAUUUUUUGAGCCAAAGGGCAGAUUUAUCAUUACACUAAUAGUUUUCUUCCCUCCGCUCACGGUAGUUAAGGGCUUUGUGGAGCUGCUUGGGUUAAAUUUGUAGUUGUACAUUGUUUUGUAAAAUGCAAUUCAGUUAUUAGUUUUGGUGUUGAACUUGACACCACUGCCAAAAACAGAAGUUUCUUGAAAUAUUUGGUUCCUAACUCCAUCUUAUUGUGGCCUAUAAAAAAAAAAAAAAACCCCAUCGUAUUGUGUGGGAAUUUUGUGUUUUCUAAGGCUGUUGGUAAGGUGUUGCCUACAUUAAAUGAAAAAUUAACUCAAAUGACUUUUCGUGUUCCCAACGUCAAUGUCUCAGUGGUUGACCUCACCAUGAGACUGGAGAAGAAGGCUAUAUGACGAAAUCAAACCUGCUAUAAAAUAAGGAUUGGCAAAGAGAAUGACUUUAUGUAUGUUAUAGAGCUACUUCCUUGUUUGUUAUAUUUCCGGACAGUUAGUUUUGUGAGUACUAAUCCUUUGUCUCUUUCAUUGAAUUUUUCGGUUCAUGUUUAUCUUUCUCGGGCGGUUAUCAGUGAGGAGUCAGAAGGAAAGCUAAAGGGAAUCUUGGGUUGCACUGAAGAUGAAGAGGUCUCGACUGACUUUGAAGGAGACAACAGGUUGUUGCUCUGUAGAAAAUGGUUGAUAUACCAUUUAUUGUUGAACAUAGUGUUUCCAAGUUUUAUUAUCUUCUUGCUCCUCUAGGUCAGAAAGUGCUUGCUGAUUAUUAGGCCAUAAUUAGCAUGAGCUCUCCCUGAUUUUGUUUGAUUAUGCUAAUGUUGGAGCUACUCCUAAUAAUCAGUUGUUACCCAGGGUCUAAUAAUCUAAUGUUAUUGAAUAUUUGUAGCAUAUUCAUUUUACAGAUUAGUAUGCAUGGCUUGAUAGUUUUGUUUUCUGUGUAGUAAUGCAGUGUUGCUUUUCCUUCUUAGAAGGGAAACACUACUUGACUACCAUACAAAAUUGCUUGAGAUAACUUUAAUUCGCAAUAUUUGUUACAACUGAGAGAUGGACUCAAUGUUAGAGUACGUGUGGGACGUUUAACGAAUUCAGGAAAUAUUUUCUUUAGGUGGUGCAUGUGGCAAGGGAUUUGAAGCAGCUAGUAAAUCGGUAGUGAAAGAGCCCCAAACUCAUGCAUAUGCCACUGGAGCUUUUAGUCAGCAUUGAAGUGCCAAUCUUUGUUAUAAAAUCACUUUACUUGCUACCAUCAAUAAUACACAUAGUGAAGUCUCUAAUAUAGUUAUCGAGAUCUUCCUUUCCUGUGGAUAUGUGUUUUGAUUUUGAAGAAUCCAUUCAGUGGUUCUGGAGAAUCAAAUAAGUGGUUUCCAAUGCU